rnacentral:rRNA from 1 species
CCAGACUCCUACGGGAGGCAGCAGUGGGGGAUAUUGCACAAUGGGGGGAACCCUGAUGCAGCGACGCCGCGUGGGUGAAGAAGCGCCUCGGCGCGUAAAGCCCUGUCAGCAGGGAAGAAAAUGACGGUACCUGAAGAAGAAGCCCCGGCUAACUACGUGCCAGCAGCCGCGGUAAUACGUAGGGGGCAAGCGUUAUCCGGAUUUACUGGGUGUAAAGGGGGCGCAGACGGCGAUGCAAGCCAGGAGUGAAAGCCCGGGGCCCAACCCCCGGACUGCUUUGGGAACUGUGCUGCUGGAGUGCAGGAGAGGCAAGUGGAAUUCCUAGUGUAGCGGUGAAAUGCGUAGAUAUUAGGAGGAACACCAGUGGCGAAGGCGGCUUGCUGGACUGUAACUGACGUUGAGGCUCGAAAGCGUGGGGAGCAAACAGGAUUAGAUACCCCAGUACA